rnacentral:rRNA from 1 species
UGAAGUUAGCGGCGGACGGGUGAGUAACACGUGGGUAACCUGCCUGUAAGACUGGGAUAACUCCGGGAAACCGGGGCUAAUACCGGAUGGUUGUUUGAACCGCAUGGUUCAAACAUAAAAGGUGGCUUCGGCUACCACUUACAGAUGGACCCGCGGCGCAUUAGCUAGUUGGUGAGGUGACGGCUCACCAAGGCAACGAUGCGUAGCCGACCUGAGAGGGUGAUCGGCCACACUGGGACUGAGACACGGCCCAGACUCCUACGGGAGGCAGCAGUAGGGAAUCUUCCGCAAUGGACGAAAGUCUGACGGAGCAACGCCGCGUGAGUGAUGAAGGUUUUCGGAUCGUAAAGCUCUGUUGUUAGGGAAGAACAAGUACCGUUCGAAUAGGGCGGUACCUUGACGGUACCUAACCAGAAAGCCACGGCUAACUACGUGCCAGCAGCCGCGGUAAUACGUAGGUGGCAAGCGUUGUCCGGAAUUAUUGGGCGUAAAGGGCUCGCAGGCGGUUUCUUAAGUCUGAUGUGAAAGCCCCCGGCUCAACCGGGGAGGGUCAUUGGAAACUGGGGAACUUGAGUGCAGAAGAGGAGAGUGGAAUUCCACGUGUAGCGGUGAAAUGCGUAGAGAUGUGGAGGAACACCAGUGGCGAAGGCGACUCUCUGGUCUGUAACUGACGCUGAGGAGCGAAAGCGUGGGGAGCGAACAGGAUUAGAUACCCUGGUAGUCCACGCCGUAAACGAUGAGUGCUAAGUGUUAGGGGGUUUCCGCCCCUUAGUGCUGCAGCUAACGCAUUAAGCACUCCGC